rnacentral:snoRNA from 2 species
UCCCUCUCAGCAUCACACCUGGGGAGUUUCCAGUAUUCUACCAGUCUUGGCUACGGGAAGGAGAGUCAAGCAGAGGUCUACCCAUUCCAUUCCUAGCUUGGGCAGUGGCUAGCAAGUGGAAGGCCAUCUGCUACAAGG